UUUAACAAACUUACAGGCAACAUACCAACGUUUGAUAACAAUAAAUAUUUAGCGUUAUUGAACAUGACGCAUAACAAACUUACUGGCACUGUACCGACGUUUUGGUAACAAUAAAUAUCUAAAAUCAUUAGAUAUUUCAGUUAAUAAAUUUAUUGAUAUUUCGAAAAUUUCUAGACCGAUAUUAAAUCAUUUGUAUGUU